AUAGGUUGUCGGGGUGUCGCGUGGUUUUAUCACGAGGAACUUCCGGACUACAUAGAACUGCAUUGCGGAUAACAUCCGCCCAGGGUAACCUGCGAGAUAGCAUCACAGAGACAAUACCGCUUUUAGAUAUUUAUUUUUCUAAAAGUAAGGGUGAAAAGGUGGAGGGUAAGAGCCUCCUGCUAAGUUUAGUAAUAAACUAGAAUGAUAAGCCUAAUGCGUAGCAAACUCAAGUAGAUAUCUGGGUUGUUCGCCUAUAGAUAUCGGGUAGAGCGCUUGAACUUAAGAGUAAUUUUAAGUCUAGAUAAAUGGCAUCCGAUUACAGAAUCCGGGGUAUAGACAACCUAUCUUU
rnacentral:RNase_P_RNA from 1 species